rnacentral:rRNA from 1 species
GAUGAACGCUGGCGGCGUGCCUAAUACAUGCAAGUCGAGCGAACGGACGAGAAGCUUGCUUCUCUGAUGCUAGCGGCGGACGGGUGAGUAACACGUGGAUAACCUACCUAUAAGACUGGGAUAACUUCGGGAAACCGGAGCUAAUACCGGAUAAUAUUUUGAACCGCAUGGUUCAAAAGUGAAAGACGGUCUUGCUGUCACUUAUAGAUGGAUCCGCGCUGCAUUAGCUAGUUGGUAAGGUAACGGCUUACCAAGGCAACGAUGCAUAGCCGACCUGAGAGGGUGAUCGGCCACACUGGAACUGAGACACGGUCCAGGCUCCUACGGGAGGCAGCAGUAGGGAAUCUUCCGCAAUGGGCGAAAGCCUGACGGAGCAACGCCGCGUGAGUGAUGAAGGUCUUCGGAUCGUAAAACUCUGUUAUUAGGGAAGAACAUAUGUGUAAGUAACUGUGCACAUCUUGACGGUACCUAAUCAGAAAGCCACGGCUAACUACGUG